AAGUCGUAACAAGGUUUCCGUAGGUGAACCUGCGGAAGGAUCAUUAACACGUAUCCAAACUUAAAACAACCCUGUGAAUAUUGAGGCUCAGUUCCCCCAGCGCACGAAAACGGGCUUCUUCUAGUAAAUCAUUGUCUUAAGAAGGUUUUGAGUUAGAGGAUGGCGUGUGUAGUAGGUGACUGUAUUGGGUAGAAGCGCUUCGCAACGAUCCACCUCCUGGUGCCCCCAAGCAACCAUCAUUCUGAAAGUGUUUGGUGAAUUGUGCAAGGGCAGCGCAGUCAACGAUCGAUGGCCCUCACGGUCAUCGACGGGGGUUGUUAACCUGUAGUGGGUCUCGUAACGACGCAUGUUAAAAGCGCCCGACGAAAGUCGGCCGACGCACCCAGAACCCCGAACAACUGUUAACAAUGGAUAUCUUGGUUCUC
rnacentral:misc_RNA from 1 species